rnacentral:rRNA from 1 species
GAUGAACGCUAGCGGCAGGCCUAAUACAUGCAAGUCGAACGGUGUCUUCGGACAUAGUGGCGCACGGGUGCGUAACACGUAUGCAACCUACCUUACAUUGGGGGAUAGCCUUUCGAAAGGGAGAUUAAUACCGCAUAAGACAGUAGCUGGGCAUCCAGCAGCUGUUAAAGAUUUAUCGAUGUAAGCUGGGCAUGCGUCCAAUUAGCUAGUUGGUGAGGUAACGGCUCACCAAGGCAAUGAUUGGUAGGGGAACUGAGAGGUCAAUCCCCCACACUGGCACUGAGAUACGGGCCAGACUCCUACGGGAGGCAGCAGUAGGGAAUAUUGGGCAAUGGACGCAAGUUUGACCCAGCCAUGCCGCGUGCAGGAUGAAGGCGUUAUGCGUUGUAAACUGCUUUUAUACAGGAAGAAACGACUCUUGCGAGAGGCAUUGACGGUACUGUAUGAAUAAGCACCGGCUAACUCCAUGCCAGCAGCCGCCGUAAAAC